rnacentral:sRNA from 1 species
CAGCAGCGACUCUCCGGCACAGAGGUGUGCGGUCAUCAAUGCCAGCCGUUGCCUCGCGGCUGCAGCAGGGCUUCUUGUGGCCGCAGUGA